rnacentral:rRNA from 1 species
GACGAACGCUGGCGGCGUGCUUAACACAUGCAAGUCGAACGGAAAGGCCCUGCUUUUGUGGGGUGCUAGAGUGGCGAACGGGUGAGUAACACGUGAGUAACCUGCCCUUGACUUUGGGAUAACUUCAGGAAACUGGGGCUAAUACCGGAUAGGAGCUCCUGCCGCAUGGGGGGGGUUGGAAAGUUUCGGCGGUUGGGGAUGGACUCGAGGCUUAUGAGCUUGUUGGUGGGGUUGUGGCUUACCAAGGCAUUGACGGGUAGCCGGCCUGAGAGGGUGACCGGCCACAUUGGGGCUGAGAUACGGCACAGACUCCAACGGGACGCAGCAGUGGGGUAUAUUACACUGUAGGCGGAGGCCUGGUGCAACAACGCCGCGUGCGGGAUGACGGCCUUCGGGUUGUAAACCGCUUUCGCCUGUGACGAAGCGUGAGUGACGGUACUGGGUAAAGAAGCACCGGCUAACUACGUG